GACGAACGCUGGCGGCGUGCCUAAUACAUGCCAGUCGAACGCACAGUUUAUACCGUAGCUUGCUACACCAUAGACUGUGAGUUGCGAACGGGUGAGUAACGCGUAGGUAACCUGCCUGGUAGCGGGGGAUAACUAUUGGAAACGAUAGCUAAUACCGCAUAAUAUUGAUUAUUGCAUGAUAAUUAAUUGAAAGGUGCAAUUGCACCACUACCAGAUGGACCUGCGUUGUAUUAGCUAGUAGGUGAGGUAACGGCUCACCUAGGCGACGAUACAUAGCCGACCUGAGAGGGUGAUCGGCCACACUGGGACUGAGACACGGCCCAGACUCCUACGGGAGGCAGCAGUAGGGAAUCUUCGGCAAUGGACGAAAGUCUGACCGAGCAACGCCGCGUGAGUGAAGAAGGUUUUCGGAUCGUAAAGCUCUGUUGUAAGAGAAGAACGGGUGUGAGAGUGGAAAGUUCACACUGUGACGGUAUCUUACCAGAAAGGGACGGCUAACUACGUG
rnacentral:rRNA from 1 species